AAGUCGUAACAAGGUUUCCGUAGGUGAACCUGCGGAAGGAUCAUUAACACGUGUUUACUCACGUAUUACUCUCACACACCAAACGAACCGUUUUCCUACCAACCAGUAUUUUUCUGCGGAAAGCGGUUUGGGGCAGUCAGGUCACAAGCCUGGCUGUCUACUACCUGCAGUCUAGCCUGGAACGUAGUAGAGAAAUUAUUUCGACUGACCCGGUCGGGCCGCACCCGCACUUUCGAAAUGUCCUUAUUACUCACACCCUUCAAUAUCUGAUCUAAUUCCUUUUCGUUUCAAUCCUUCUGCAUUCCCGUGGAUAACGGUAGAGUGUGUCUGAGCGAGCGAAUCAAUAAAAAUUACGAAACAACUCUUAGCAACGGAUAUCUUGGUUCUC
rnacentral:misc_RNA from 1 species